rnacentral:rRNA from 1 species
AGUAGGGAAUCUUCCGCAAUGGACGAAAGUCUGACGGAGCAACGCCGCGUGAGUGAUGAAGGUUUUCGGAUCGUAAAACUCUGUUGUUAGGGAAGAACAAGUAGUAUUCAAAUAGGAUGCUACCUUGACGGUACCUAAUUAGAAAGCCACGGCUAACUACGUGCCAGCAGCCGCGGUAAUACGUAGGUGGCAAGCGUUAUCCGGAAUUAUUGGGCGUAAAGCGCGCGCAGGCGGUCUUUUAAGUCUGAUGUUAAAGCCCACGGCUCAACCGUGGUUCGCAUUGGAAACUGGGAGACUUGAGUACUGAAGAGGAAAGUGGAAUACCACGUGUAGCGGUGAAAUGCGUAGAGAUGUGGUGGAACACCAGUGGCGAAGGCGACUUUCUGGUCAGUAACUGACGCUGAGGCGCGAAAGCGUGGGGAGCAAA